rnacentral:rRNA from 1 species
AGAGACAGCAGUAGCCGCGGGAAUACAGAGGGUGCGAGCGUUAAUCGGAUUUACUGGGCGUAAAGCGUGCGUAGGCGGCUUCUUAAGUCGGAUGUGAAAUCCCUGAGCUUAACUUAGGAAUUGCAUUCGAUACUGGGAAGCUAGAGUAUGGGAGAGGAUGGUAGAAUUCCAGGUGUAGCGGUGAAAUGCGUAGAGAUCUGGAGGAAUACCGAUGGCGAAGGCAGCCAUCUGGCCUAAUACUGACGCUGAGGUACGAAAGCAUGGGGAGCAAACAGGAUUAGAUACCCCUGUAGUCCCUGUCUCUUAUAA